CAAGGCCAAACCGUUCCCACCCUCGCUCUCGCUGUAUGGCCCGACACAUCUGGGUCGCUCCUCCACCGUUCACCUAGAAAAUUUUUCCCCUAUCUGUUCGAAGCAGCAGGGUAGGACAGGGCUGAGCCGCCGAUGACCUCGGCGGUGGCGGCGGCAGAGGGAGUCGGCUAGGAUGGCGGCUGGGGCGAGGAGGCGGAGCCGAUGACCCCGGCGGUGGCGGCGGCCGAGGGGUCCCAAGGGCGUCGUCCGAAGGAAGAGCACCCUGCGCCAGUUCAGCGGUCGUGGUGUUACGGAGGAGGCGGAGAGAAAGGCCACCGAUGACCCCGUGAAGGUCGAGGAGGCCGCCGCCUCGUCGUGCAGCGCGCGAUGGUGGACCGGUGGGCGAACAAGAGGCACUUGACCUUGCCGGAUCACGCUGCCGCCGACGUAAUCCAGGCCGGAUUUGUGGAGAGCCCGGCGCAGCACCGACUACAGAUUGAUAAGGGCCGGUUCAAUGACGAAUCCACUAUUCAACACACAGCCCAACUCGACAGGCACGAGCCAUGUCGACAGUCGGGGCGGCACUCGGGGGCAUGCUCGCCUCGACAGUCAUCAAGGUGGCGAGAUCAAUUCUGUCAUUUCAGGCAAGAUCAAGCUGCACAGGAAACUGAGGAACGAUCUGGAGAACAUGAAGAUGAUGCUAGAGUCGGUGGAGGCUGUGCUCGGCGACGCUGAGAGGGAGUCUAUCAAGCAUAAGUCCAUGUUUCUGUGGCUAAAUCGGCUUAAGGAUGCGCAAACGACAUAUCUGACAUGCUUGAAGAUUUUGAAGAUGAAACCAACCUCAACCUGUGGGCAGCCACGAUGAAGAAGAUUAAGAUGCCACGUAAGAUGAGAUCAAUGCAAAAGCGCCUACAAAAUAUAAAAGAGGACAGUGAUAGUUAUGGUGUUGAGCUCCAUGUAGCGCAUUAGUCUGAAUGCAAAACAAGCUGCAAUGUACCAACUCUUGUUGACAUGUCUUUAUCAGUAUAAAAAUGGUGUGGAUGAAGGACCCCUCCAACGUGCCAAAGAUUAGCACAUGGAGCUGCCGGAGCCGGAUGACCCAGCCUCGCCACCGAUAGAAAAGCGCAGGAUGGUGCAUGUCGUCAUCAUCCAUGUUGGAUUGGUGGAGGAUCACAACACCACACGUUGUCACAGCAUCACUUUCUGGAAUGGUAUGGUUGAUGGCACCGGCCCUCCUUUCAAAGAUGGAGGUCACGGAUUUGCAGUGGCCAGGCUGGAGAUUUUAGAUUUAAUUGUUUGAAUACAUCUUUAUUUCAUUUCAGAUUGUGUCAAGUCUUGCGUACUACUCCCUCCGCUCCAUCCGUUCACAAAUAUACGAUGUUUCUAACUUAUACUCCCUCCGUCCGGAAAUACUUGUCUUAGGAAUUGUUGUAUCUAGACUUAUUUUAGUUAUAGAUACAUCCAUUUUCAACCAUUUUUAAGACAAGUAUUUCCGGACGGAGGGAGUAUUUGUUAAUGGAGGGAUGCUUCAUAUGAGCUUCUAUCUAUAAACUUUUGUCGAGAAUCUAUUUGUGAUAACUUCUCUCCAAGGCUGGAGCCACUUUUGUAUGUUUACUUCACGUGAUCCAUUCUAUGUUGUCAAAUUCUCGUUCAUUUGGUGAGCUUGUGUAAUAUCUGUGUUCGUUGAUCAUGGCCAAGUAAAUCAAAUUGAAUUUCCUGUUAAGGCCUGAUGCUUACAGCAAAACUGAACAAAAUAUAUAGUGAAAUAAUCAAAUGAUAACAAAACAAAGAAAAGGUUGCCUCCUUGGAGCCGAGUCCAAUUCUUAACCACAAGCUUCUUCAAGGAUAAGCAGCAACAACACGGAUAAUUUAGCGUUACACGAUCCUCUGCACUAUUUCUGCAAAUCUGAAUAAUCUCACUUGAAUCUAAUAUAAAUGCAUCAUCUUCUCUACAGCUUUUAAUGGCCACAAGUUAAAACAGAUAAUCUUCUCUACAACAAUCUUGAUCUCCUUUAUCUUCUCUUCUUGUGCAACAACCUUAUCAUGUUCUUGCGCCUUCCCUUCCAGCUCUUCUAAUCACCCAUCCUGAAUUGCAGUUUUUUUAAACCAAAAAUUGCACUGUGCUACUCAAAGCAGAUGACGCUGCCAGAUUAUUCUUUUGAACUUUUGGAGUGAGAGUCGGAGGCUGAGUAUCUAGAGUACCAGUCACUGCCUCUGUA